GUUGGUAGGUUGCUCUUGCUCAUCUACAACGUCAGCCAUUGUGUCGGUUUCUGUCUGUUCUAUCAGUUGGCGAGCAAUACGGUCGAUGUUAUUGUUGAAUAGGAGGUUCUGAUUUCCUUGUGACCGUGUAUGCAUGCAACAUAUAGCAGCCGUGCUAUAACAGAUGAAUCAAAGAUGCGUCUGUAAAGCGGGUUGCAAGGUACCUGAAACACAAAGACAGAAAAGGCACAAUGUUAGUAACUUGUGUAACAAAACCGAACUUGAUCUUAACGUUUCUAAUGAUCUCAAAUAUAACAAACAAACACGAAACUGGCAACGGCGCCAAAUUGAUAGUAGGAUUUUUCUCAAUUAAUCCUAAAACACUAUCUUGUCGUUGUAGUAUUUUAGGAUGUCAAUCCAAUCCGGUGUGAUGCAAACAGAUGAGAUAUGAUUAGAAAGCUCUAAGUCAAGCCAAGCAGAGAGUCGGUUGGUUCUAACAGUCCUAGUAUGCAAUAACAGAAAUGAAAUGAAACUAAAAGCAGAAAUGGCAAUAGUAGGCAGGUAAAUAACAAAGCAGAAAUGAUAACAGGCAAUCAAAUGGAUAAACGAUUCUUAAGGAUGGGGUAAUCGAAUAGUAUGGUCUCCUUAAUCUAUUCAAGUGGUUGACAAAACUUCAUAGAAGCUAUCCCUAGACAACAAGUUCAACAACAGAUUAAUUCACUCCCGUGAUAGAAAUCCUCAAGCAUAACUAGACACUGAACUAAUUCUCAUUAGCGAUCUCUAACUAAGAAGGCAUUAUCGAAUCAACAUGUUAAAGCCAAUACCCUCUCUACAGUCAAUCCGUUGGGGUAGAGUCAGAUACCUCUGGAAUUAAUUGGAUCCAACGCCUAUUAAACGCCUUCUGAGCGCUGGACGUCUGGACUCAUAUUCCACAUUAGUCAGUGAAACAAGCAAUAAGCGCAACUAAUCCAGAAGGGAUUCUAGUAUUCUAAACUCAACCACCUAAAACGACCAAGUAAACUACAACUAAUCUAUCUCAUCCUCAGAAAUACAGUUCACUACUCAGACAUAAUCAAAAACAAUAGCAAAACAACGAUUGAAAACAUGAUAACAGAAAUAAUG
rnacentral:sRNA from 1 species